GUAAGUGGCAGUGCCAACAGCCCCUCCAGUGCUGUGCUCUGGUAUAAAUAUGUCUGCUUCUCCACUGCAACUCUACAGACUCCAAAAUCCUCCCUGGCUCUCCUCUGUGGCUAUGCAGAGACACUUGUGUGUAAAGUUACUGGUGGAGGUACCAUAACAUGUCGUGAAGGCCUUGAUGUUUGUUUCAGAAAUACUGCUUAUAUUACAAGUGACGCUAUUACGCUUAGAGGAUGCAUGUUUUCAAAACUUUGUUAUGCUGCGCAGUACUGUUGCAAAACCGACAAAUGCAAUGCAUAAUUAACAUGCUUCCAAAUGCAUCCUUGAAGGAAAUAAAAUCUAAAGCAUCUUACCCUGUGUCUCUGGUCCUU